AUGAUCCCAGCGACGAAACCACGCACCGAGGACUUGCAUGUAAACUCCAGGGACCUGCAUGCAAGCGCCAGGGACUUGCAUGUAACGAAUGGAAGACGUGCGGACCGACCACAGUUACGUUGGCUACCACCUGAGCAUCAUGAUGUCAAGAUGAACGUGGAUGUAGGCUUCUCCAAGGUUGGCGACCGUGCUGCGUCAGCAGUAAUUUGCAGGGAUAAGGGGGGCAACUAUUUGGGUGCUUCGGCCAUCAUCUAUGAAGGACGCCUUAAUCCAGCAACACUCGAAGCACACGCAUGCAGCGAGGCCCUCUCGCUUGCAUCGGAUCUGCAGAUUCAAUCCGUGUGUGUGGCAUCUGACUGUCUGGAGGUAGUGAUGAGUAUACACGAUGAAGUUCCAUGCCGCUAUUACCCCAUCCUGCAAGAUAUUAAACACCAGAUGUCGCGCUUUCAUAAUAUCUCGUUUCUUCACGAAAGUAGGAAGUAUAAUGUGGAGGCCCAUGCCUUAGCAAAGGCAGUCGCUUAUCUUUGUCCCGGGCACCAUGUGUGA
rnacentral:rRNA from 1 species